AGGCACCAACGUGGGACACAGGUACCAGGGCUUCAGUGAAGAGAGCUGGCCAUAUCAAAAAGAAAAGAAAUAGAGGUAGUUGCAAGACAGGAGCCUGCCGCAGCAACAAAGACCUUGGUAAGUGAGUGACGAUAUGGGAAAAGACAUGAGUCAACAUGAAUUGUUUGUUGAAGGCCUCAAGUAGGCACUUAAGGCAUGAGGGAUUAAGCUUAAAACACAGGAUUUGUUAAAGUUUUUUGUCUUUAUUAAGGAAGUUUGUCCCU
rfam:Mesocricetus auratus contig100435, whole genome shotgun sequence.